AUGAGCUUGAGUAGCAGGCAGCCGUUUAGACUUAUACAAUCUUCUGUUGUUGGCUUCUUGCUAAUCUGGAUAUACACAAUGAUUGAGUGCCUUCGCUCAGGCUCGUCAUCUCCCUCAACGAAGCAGGUAGACAUGGAGACAGAGGGGAGCAGUCACUGCACGCCCCUGGAACUGCCGGUCCGUGCCAUAGACAGCCCCACUGCCGCAGUCCAUGAUCCGUGCGGCCUCGUCUCGUGGGUUGCAGAACCUCGUGACACGGCGAUCUUGAAAAACGAUCCCACCAAGCAGCAGUGGAUCACAAUACAACAACGGUAA
rnacentral:rRNA from 1 species